rnacentral:rRNA from 1 species
UACGUAGGGCGCAAGCGUUGUCCGGAAUUAUUGGGCGUAAAGAGCUCGUAGGCGGCCUGUUACGUCUGCUGUGAAAUCCCGGGGCUUAACCCCGGGCGUGCAGUGGAUACGGGCAGGCUGGAGGCAGGCAGGGGAGAACGGAAUUCCCGGUGUAGCGGUGAAAUGCACAGAUAUCGGGAGGAACACCGGUGGCGAAGGCGGUUCUCUGGGCCUGUACUGACGCUGAGGAGCGAAAGCGUGGGGAGCGAACAGG